CAACGCAUUCAGUAGUCAAAUAUCAGCCGAUCGAUGAACUGAAUUCUGAUAAAAAAAAAUCUCCAGCCAAGUAAUAAACCAAAGAGUGAACAACGCACAACCGACAAACAGUCAAAUUCGUUUCGGAACAAUAAUUGUGUGUGUGCUUUUGUGUUGAUGUGUUUGUUCGAAAGACGAAAUCGCAAAAAAGCACCACAUAAACGAUGAUUUAUUGGCAGUGGUAUAAAAUGUGGAGAUUCAUUUUUGUGCUCGGUCUUGCAAUGCCUCUAUGGUUGGCAUGGACGAACGGAGGAGUGAAUGGUGAUGGUGGUGAUGUGGUCGAAAUUGAAAUUGAAAGUGGUCGAAUCCGUGGCAAACGCAGUCUAACCCUAUUCGGUGAAAAACCGUAUUAUUCAUUCCGUGGCAUUCCCUAUGCACAACCGCCGUUAAAAGAUUUACGUUUCAAGGCACCAAAAAAAGUUGCACCAUGGAUCGAUCCUUUGGAUGCAUUCGAUUUUGCUAGCGAUUGUACACAAAUCAAUUUCGAAACGGAUGAGGUUUUCGGCUCCGAAGACUGUUUGUAUCUCAAUGUAUUCGCUCCAGCCGAAGCCAUUGAACAGGCAACAAUUGGAAAUUUCUCGGUGAUUGUGUAUGUGAUGGGAGAAGCGUUUCAGUCAGGCAGUGCACGGCAUUAUGGGCCAGAUUUUUUGAUUGAAAAAGACGUGAUAGUCGUCACAUUCAACUAUCGCUUGGGAGCCAUCGGUUUUAUGUCGUUGAAUUUACCGGAUUUUGCUGGAAACAUGGGCCACAAAGACCAAGUGCUUGUGCUCAAAUGGGUGGACAAAAAUAUUAAACAGUUUGGUGGUGGUGGUGGUGAUGGGAAAACGACACUUCUGGGACAUGAUACAGGUGCAAUUAGUGUUAGUUUGCAUAUGAUUUCGCCGGCAUCGAAGGGAUUAUUUGAAAAUGCGAUAAUGUUGAGUGGAUCGGCAUUGAAUCCAUCAAUACCGCGGGUCAAAGAUCAUUUGACCAUUUUAUACAAUUUAGCCGAAAGCCUUCACUAUCCCGUGGAAAAUAAUCGUGAUUUGUUGGAAUUUUUACGCCAAAUCGAUGGUAAACUGUUGACAAAACGCACAUUUCAGGAUUUUAGCAACACGGGAUUUGGUCGACGUAUGGCCAAUUUGAUUUGGGCCACUGCUGUCGAACAUCCUCAUGCGGUUGACAAAUUCAUCGAUAGAACACCAUUUGACAUUCUCACCAAUGACGAAUAUAAAAGCAAUGUCAAUGCUUUGUUCGGUUGUACAUUCGAGGAAAUGUACGGUGAAUUCAUUAAUGAACUUCGAAAUCCCGCUCUGUUGAAGCCAUUUGAUGAAAUUUUCGAACUGCAACUUCCACUUCGGAAUGCCAAGCUAAAAUUCCAUUCAAAGGAGUACAAGGAAAUGUCGACAAAAGUGCGAGAACUUUACUUCAAAGGGAAUCGCGUUGACAAUGACACAAUUACCGGAUUCCAGCAGCUAAUGACCGACGUUUGGUUUUUAUACGGUAUCGACUUGAAUGCGCGUAUUCAUGCCAACAGAACGACCGGACACACAUUCUUUUCCACCUUUUCAGUGAAGAGUGACUGGAAUUUAAGUAGUCGCAAGGGCCGGAAAUUUGCAUUCAACUUUAAUUUUUCCAAUCAUUUCGAUCAACUGCCAUAUUUAUUCCGGCUGAGUGGUCAAAGUUUGCUUCCGGAUUCGUCGUAUCAAAAUUUGGCAGAAGAUUCACUGGAACGCAAAACAAUCGAUACGCUCACCGAAUUUUAUGCGAAUUUCGCCAAAUUCUCAAAUCCAUUACCGAAUAGCGAUCCGGUUAUAUUUCAAAAACGAAAUGCUGCUGAUACCGAUCAAUACCACUAUUUGGAUAUAACAAAUGAUGGUGUGGUUAUGAAAUUCGAUCCAAAUCGCAAGCGUAUCAAAUUUUGGAAUGAUAUUUUCGAAACGUACAGCGCACAUUGGCAAACACGUGAAUUCAAUUUGAAUUCAUUGGCCGUAAAAAUUCCAUUGUUGUUGCUUGCCUCGUUGUUAAGCGGAAUAUUUUGUUGCAAAGGAAUUAAUAUGUGCUUGAAGAAAAACCGAAAAUCAAUGGCUAUUCAUCAUUAAAUAUAGCUCCCCCAUCGAUUGCUCCUUCUUCAAGUGGAUGGUCGAUAGUCGGAAUUCAAUAAACACACACACACACUGAUAUAGAGUAGAAGAAUGAAGAGAACAGUUCAAGUGAUUUUCAACAAACAAAAUAAAAUUGGAAGUUUUUUUUUCGAGUGGCUUUAAAAACGUAGGAACAAUAAUCUCGACUCUUCCGUUUGCCGAUGUUGAAAAAGCGAUGCAAUGAGCACCAACCUUGAGGGAAAUGGUUCAAUUUCUUUGGACAAAGAAAAAUCACUUUCGUUUCAUGUGAAACUUUCGUAUUCGUUCGAUUUACCAGUAGAAAUGCUUCAUUUUUUCUGAUCGCAUCGAAAUGAAGAUUUUUGUUUUGUUUACAACGAUUUCCGUUGCAAUUGUCUCGUUUUUUUACAAGAAAUAUAACAAAACAGACGGUAAGAUUAGUCCAUUAAACUGUGGGAGUUGAGAAAAAGAAACAAUAACGCACAAAAUCAAUGGAAAAUUCAAUUGUUUGAAUCGUAGACUCCAAGACUCGAGUGAUAUUGGCUAAAUGGCUGGAAUUUCAUGCCGAAUCAAACAAUCAAGUUGGAUUCGAGCAGGACAAACAGAAUGAAAUGGGAAAGAGAUGGAACAGCAACGAAUGAGGAUCGACAAUGCAAUACAUGAGAACGUCCUAUGAUAAAAACUACAAUUGUGUCAAACAUCAAAAGCUAAAACAAGAUACGGAGAAAGGAUAAG